GCUCCUUCUCUCCGGCAACGGCACGUACUCACGACCACCGCCCUCUCAGGGGCUGGCUACAGGCCGGCCAAGAAGCCAUUUCCACUGACAGCGGGGCUGGCGGGAGCCCUCUCGCCUUUCUGGGCAGGGACAGCAACGCUCAACCUGACAGAGGAGACAGUGGUCAACGGACAUUUCUGAAAUUAAAGACAGCCAGUGUUGCAGUGACGAGGAGCCACCCCGCCAGCCCAGCUGAGGCAUCUGCGAGGGGCAGACACGCAGAGAGAGGUACCUCUCCAGCAAGAAGGACUGUUCAAAGGAGAGACACUUCAAAACUCCUUAUUGUGAGCUCCACUAGCCCCUGCAAAGUUCCACUUCCAUUUUAUAUCAAGGCUUCUUUUUUGUUU